CUAGUGCUCAGUAUUAGUCUUGUGCUCAACAUGUUUGGCCUAAAUCUAUUGAAAAUAAUGGAAUCCAACAUCUCUUGUGGAAAGUGGUGCACCGCUUGAAGUUGACUUUGACAGCUCCCACAGUUAAAGGCCUGCUAUAAAAGUUAGACCCAAUUAUCCUCUCUCUUUGACCCUGGUUAUAAUUCUGUUUGUGCCUAGUUUUGGCCCAAAUGCUGGUUUCUUUAAACCAGCAUUACUCUGGGAAGGCUGACAUAACUCUCCUUAUUGGGAAGCAAAGAAGCAUUGUGCUUGUACACACAAAAUUAGUUCCGAAAUUAGUGUCCAGUGGCAGAGCAAUCUGUUAUAAUACUUACUCCCUACUUCUAGAAAAUCCCUUACUGUCUUCAUAUCUGUCAUCACUUGGGACAAUGUUAAGACUGUGCUGGCACAAUGUCCAGAGAGAAAUGCUUUUCUCUAAGUGGUAAGGAUCUGUGUUCAGUAGUAUUAAGUUUAUUUUGACCUUUAUCAUGUGUGAGCAUAGUCAUCACAGCUUCAGCGUAACAACUUCAGCAGUAGUUACAGUAAAACACAGUUUCUGCUUUGCCAGUUUUUCUGUCUCCUAAAUCUUUGGCCUUUGGGCAAUCCCAUAUAAUGUUCCUCUUCACACAAACACUCUCAGACCUCUGUGAUGAUUUCAGAGCAGUGGAACUAUUAGGCACAAAGUAGGCAGCCUGGAAUCCUGAGUUUCCUCCCUUUUACUCUAAGGUAGCUCCACCAAAACCUGCACAAGCACAGCAUGGUAAGAUCAGUGUAACAAGCAGGGAACCCAAAUGCAGGAGAAGGUGCAAGUCCUGAGUGCUGUUAGGGACAAGCCAUCCCUGAGGGGACAAUGCACGUUCUGCAUUAGGAUCACUUCCUCACCAUUAUCCAGUGACCUGCUGUGGGUUAUGAUUAGGGUAAUAAAAUAUUCUCUGCCUUUUAAAGCACAGUAAGUUCCAAGAAUCCAGAAGAAGCCUUUAUAUCACUUCUAUAAAUGCCUCCCAUGCAAAACCACCACAUUGCCAUAAUGAAGAAAGCAAAGUUUGACAAAACAGAUUGCAACUAAAAUCAGCAUGAUAUGAUCAUCAGGAACCUGCAUUAUAAGUGCAAUUUUUUUUACAAGAAAGUGUAAAACAUAAAUAGGAAAUGUACAAAGAACCAGGCUAUAAUUGCUACAAUUUACCUUUUGGAUCUUCGAAUUUUUCAUUCAACCUUUCUUUGCAUGACAGCUUUUCAAUAGGUAUAAUUAAGUUCUCAUCUGUAGACAAGGAAAAUUAAAGGAAGAAAAAGAUGGAAAGACAGAACUUCAAAAGAAGGGUAUGAAGAACCAAUUUAAGUCAUGUAAAAGAAAUGAGGAAGGAAAAAAGCAAGCAAGAAUGAAUAUCUGACACAUUAUGCAAUGCUAGGCUUCUUUGAAGAUGACAUUCCAAAUUCAGGGUCAUCCAAGUCAUCCCAGCUAUCCACAGCCUUUACCAAAGUCUGACCCCACCGUCUUCUGCAGUUUUUAGGACCAAUUACACCAUUCAGAGGGCCACUAGGUGCUUGUUUCUAUUUUAAAUAAAAAAAAUUAAAAUAAUAGAAAACCCCCACUUUAAUUCAAUUCUAAAAUUUUGUAAUUUGUAUCUAGUAUAACUCCUGACUACUGCUUACAGACUUUGAGGGAAUUUUUCCCAGUGUGUUGUACCUGUUUUGGUCAUAGUCUCAUUAUGACUUCAAGUACAAAACAUAAUAAUGCCAGCAUGUAUUUGAAGUGUAGUUCUUUUGGACUGUCAUCCUUGAAUUGUUCAAGUCUACCUGAACUAGUGAGGUUAACAUUCUGUUUGCAAACCCAGUUCAGUGCUCAACCACUAUUUCUGGCAUCUUGCUGAACUCCUGCUCUGAACAGUGGUAGGGAAGCUGUCAAGAAAUAGAGCACAGUGGUGCAGAACACUGCUGUGCCCUCAAAGUAAAUACAGCAAAUAAAAGAAACUUUUCUUUAACAUUCUGUUCCAAUGAAAUUCUAAGUUUUAAAAAUGUCCUUCUACAGAUCAUUUGCUUUCCAGUAUUCUCUGAAUACCAUUUAUUUUUAACAUAUUUUGUAUUGCAGUUCAGUGACUACAAGUAGAAAGCAAAAUGGAAGUAACAAACCAAAGUUUACUACUAAUUUUUCUAAAAAUCAUAAUUGCUAAAUUCUUACAAGGUUAAGAGCUGGAUGAACCUUUUUGGGUAUUUUCCUGCAUGAGGCAAGUGAAGUUCUCCCUUUCCACUUCUCUGUUGUGAAUUGUUUCUCAAAGGUCAAUAAGUAACAGCUGUUCCAACUCCAUUGCUACAUAAGCACAUCACUGAGGGCUAUUAUAAUGAACAUUGUGUUACAUGCAAUCUAUUCUUCUGACUUGCUAUAAAAUUUUAAUAAGCAGACAGUUAUAUCCUCACUCAUUCCCUAGUUAUCUAUCUGUAUCUCCUCUAAUAAAACAUAUGACAAUUUUCAAGGGAUCACCUGGCUGAACAUACUAAGAACUUUUAAUAAAACCAUCUAUGUAGUUAUUGAAGACAA